UCGUCGAGGCUUUCGUUUCUGUAGUGAAACCCUCCCAAAGAAAGGACAGCCGCUCUCCUCUUCUCUUCACAGUUGUAGUCACAACGAACCAGAAGUUGAUUUGCUGGUAUAAAAGGUUCCCGUCGCUCGUGCUGCUUCUUUGUGCCUUUUCUUUUAGCUUCUGAUAAGUCUUCGGAAUCUAAUUCUCUGUUUCUUUUCUUGCUACCACUUGACAUCGAGCUCGGCGGGUUUAUCUAGUUAUCAUCGGGCAACAAUGUUGGUCUGUUCACACCAUAUCGUGCUUCAAAUGUUUCACUCUGCUUCCCUCCAAAACCCCCUUUUCCCCUCAAAUUUCAAAUUAAUGGUUCAUCCAGAUUUUAGGUAUCAAGAAUCUUACUGAUGGAACGAAUAACUUGAAUGCUUAAGCAGUACAACUUUCUUAGUCUAACCGCUCCCUUGAAUGCUCUGCUUCUCAUCGUUUCUGGUUGUUGUUGGGGAUUUGAUGAUUCACAGAAGUAAAAGGUUUGCUAGUCUCCAUCAAGGUCUCAAUCUGUCGAAGGACCCCAUACAAAAAUCCCAGUUGCUGGUAGGAGACAAUUCUACUAAAAUGUUGCCGAAAACAGUAAUCGUUGCUCAUAUUGAAAAUUUCUACUUUGAAGUUUAUAAGCACUUGUACGAUCAUCAGAAGAAAAUUCCAUAAGAAUCAACAUGUAUGUACCAAAUGACAACACGAGGAAUGCUUCAUGGAUUUGGUCUAUUAACCCCAUGAUAAUAACCUGAAACCGAUUUGAGUGAGCUUAAGGCAGUGAUACCACCGCCACCGAAGAUCAUCGUGUACUCGAAAUGCCC